UUAGACCAUGGUUACAAAAUUUCCAUCCAUUUAAAACAGCUUUGAUCCAAGAAAAUGAAUCCACAAAAACCUCACAAAAAAAAAACAAAACACAGAGGACAAAAAGCCAAGGCAGCCAAUAACACAUGAUUCAUAUCUGCAAGACUGCAACAACUCUUUUAAUAUUCCUCCCUGCACCAUUCAUCAAAUGGUCACUCCAAAACCAUCACAGAAGCACUAAAAAUCUAGCAUUAACCAAGACUAAUUCUCUAUAAAAUGCAACUACAAUCUUAAAAACCAGAAUCCACAAAUCAACACACACACAAAAGAAGGUUCUUUACCAGCACAAAAGGCCCGAGGUGUGCUUCCUUCUACGAUAACACAUUUGACUCUAGGAUCAAAUUCCCAUUCAUCAAGCAAGCUCUUGUACUUCAAAUCCAUUUCU
rnacentral:lncRNA from 1 species